rnacentral:lncRNA from 1 species
AGCCACGGGCUCUGGGCUGCGGAGGAGGUUGGAGGUGACCUUCCAGAAGGAACUUGGGACAAGGGAGCCAGUGAGCACCUGGUAGGUAGUGGUUACUCUCUGAGGAGCCAGCAUCAGGCCAGCAGCACCAGCCAAAUAGAAGGGGGGAGAAGUGGCCUCCAGCUUCCCAGUUUGGGCUUGGGCCAAGACGACAAAGAAAAGGGUCCACCUUCUUCCCUCCAGGUCAGAUGACCCUGAACUGUAUCAAGUAGAAAAAUGUCUAACCAGGACAGAGGAAGAUACGAACCCUCGAAGCUCAUAGAUACAAGAGAGGUUUGCUGGAAAUCGUGGCUGACCACCUCAGAAGCAUCCAAAAGACCUGAACUUUCUGGUUUUGCCUUUCACCUUGCUCUGAAACUUUUCCCAACACUGGAAGACAAGAAAGUCCCCACCCCCACCCUGUCCCAUCCCUGGGCCGGGGAGACUCUUCUCAUUGGGCAAGCAGGCUUGCUGGGCAAACGUGAGCCCC